rnacentral:tRNA from 1 species
GGAGGGGUGGCCGAACUGGACUAAGGCAGCGGCCUUGAAAGCCGCCGGGGCGGAAGCCCUUUGUGGGUUCGAAUCCCACCCCCUCCG